rnacentral:lncRNA from 1 species
AAUGAGUUCUUCUACACUGAAUUGCCUAAAAGCAUGUCUAGCGUGGCCUCGAAUCUUUAUAGUGUUGGACUGUCUGCUGCAAGCUUGGUGGCCAGUUUUAUAGUAGGUAAUGUUCGUGGGUUUAUUAGUGAAGCAAAUCAAGAGAGUUGGGUUUCAAGCAACAUCAACAAAGGACAUUAUGAUUAUUAUUACUGGCUGCUUUCUAGUUUGGGUGUUGCUAACUUCAUUUAUUAUCUUGCUUGUAGCAAGGCUUAUGGUCCUUGUAAGGGGGGACAAAAGGGCAUUACUGGAGAUGUUAGGGAAGGAUUGAUUGAUGAUGAUGAUGAUGAUGUAGUUUAAGUUAACGUUCAGGAUCUUUGUAUGUUCGUUAGAAAUUUUCACUUCUCAUUAUUUGCUGGUAUGUGAACUCCAAUGUGAUGUAUUUUCUUUGUAAACAAAAAAGAAUAUAUUAUAUAUAUGCAGCCAAUCUAAUGUGUUCCUGUAACAAAAUUUAUACAUAUAUAGAAAAUGUGGUCCAAAUCUAGCUAGGGACAAAUAGGGAUUGAGGUGCUAUGGAGGACUCACGGCGUAUUGGUGACGGUGCACUCUUGUGCAAGUGGUUAUUGGCUUUUUCAUGACAUUGAAACAAUUAAUUAAUGAACAAUAAGCUGUAUUUCUAGUGAUAUUAUAUUAUAGAAUGUAUAGCAUGUAAAUAUCUAAAUAGAAAAUUAUACUAGGAUAUUCCAAUGUUAUAAUUCCUAUAUUUACCAUGGUGUUCUAUCACAUAUAUAUAAAUAUAAAGGUUGGCUAAGGUACAAGCUAAAACAUUCUAUUAUAUCAUAGCCCUAAAUUAACUAAAACACUUUCAUCACAGCUCUCUUUGCACAAUGAAACAGCUGCCUAUUACUUCUUCUUCUACACCGGCGGUGCAAGCUCCCUCUCUUGCUGCAGCACCCCUGUUUUCCUCUGCCGCAGCACCCCUGUCUUCCUCUACUUCUGUUCUACCGUGGCCACAACCUACUGCUGGUCGUCACGCUCUCUUCAACCCCCACAAUACUCCCUUAUUGCAGUGAUUAGUACUUAAAAGUGUAUUUUUAUCAUAAUAUUACACUUAAAGUAUCAUUAAAUUCCCUAACUGAAGCAUAUUUUAUAAUAACAAAUCUGACAACAUAAGAUAUUUUUAAUUUAUGGUAAAUACUUAUUUUGAAUGCAGGCAUAUCUCACAAUUUAAAGGAUUGAUUGAUGUGUUUAACUAUUGAAAGAUAAAAGACAAAGAGAGGGCUAAGCUAAAAGAAGAUAUGCUGGUUUAAUUCAAACUAGAACAACAUUCAAUUAUUGGAUCAUAACUGGAGUUGUAGAACAUGGAUUUAGGCCUGGUUUAUAUGGAUGGAAAGCUAAGACAGUGGCCUAAAAAUUUCAUAAGAUUUCAAGAUUCAAAACGGUCGUUUUCAAGUUCAAAUUGUAGCAACAAAAGAGACGUGAAAUUUAUCUUGCAGCCUAGACACUUUUCAGUGUUCAGCCCAUAUCUCGAGUUCUAGACGUCCAAAUGAGCUGAUUCUUGUUUUGUUGGAAAACUGAGAAAAAUAAAGAAGAAGAGAGAAAGAGAAGAAGAAAAAAAAAUAGAGCAAAAAAUAGGGGAGAAGAAGAACCACCACCCCUGCCGUCGCCGCCUCUCCAGGUAAACACUUUGCCCCCUUUUCUUUUACUUUCGUUUCUUCCCUCACCAUGCAGGACGUGCACGGUGCACGUCUAUGUAGGUGAGCUAAAGCUGGUUACUAUGCUUGUUGUUACUCAAUUUUGAACCCCACGUGCUGGAGACAGUGUAUACCUCUUUUGAAGAGAAUGUAGGAGGUUAGCUCAUAUUCGCCAGAAGAUUGACAAAAGCACAGAAAAAAAUAUUGUUGUUUUUUUCAAAACCUUGUUUGAGCUGUUUCUGCUCUUUUUAGCCUUCCCCUUUACUACCAAAAUCAUCAGGUUUUCUUAGGUUGAUCAGGAUUCAUCAUAAUGCUAAAUUUGUUCCUUUUUAUUUGGUCUUUAAGGUUGAAUAAAUCCCUCAGAAUUUGCACUAAAAAAAAAUAGUUCUGCUGCUGUCGCAAUUUUUUGUUCCAACUUAGGCUCUGAUUCUGACUUAGUUUUGUACCAUACCUAACCAUCCUAGGUAUAUUCUGUCACUCAUUACAUAUUGAAAAAUUGACGUACACCUUUAAUAGGUUCUAGGGAUCAUUGUUCUUAGAGCAGAUUCUCAGUCAUAUUUGGAUGCUCAACAUUGUCGGAUUAAGAACCUUUUUGACUAACUAGGUUACUGCCAGAUUCUGUCCCUAAAACGAUUUUAUCUCACUUCGACUCCUUCAUUAAAGAUGUAGUCUUGGACGCGCAGAUAAAUUUGGGCUUUUGAAUUGCUUGAUUUCAAUAUCAGAAGCUCAAGAUAUUCCCGUUUGAAUAUCUAACGUGAAGGCAGAGAAUUCUGCCGCGAGAAGGAUAUUGACCUGAGUCUGCACUAAAAAACUCUAUUUUUGGCCUAGUUUUUGUGAUUUUUGUUCUUUGUUUACACUCUCAGUCAUAUCAGGAUUCUCGGCAUUCGUCAGUUUUUGAGUUAGACUCGGAGAUCCCUUUUGACCAACCAAAUCACUGCUAGAUUCUGUUCUGUAAAAAGAUUUUAUCUCACUUCAAUUGCUCAUCAAAGUUUCAUUCCUAGACGCGUAGAUGAUUUUGGGCUUUUGAAUCACUUGAUUUCAAUAUCAGAAGCUCAAGAUAUUCCCAUUUGAAUAUCUAACGUGAGGGCAGAAAAUUCUGCCGCGGGAAGGAUAUAACCCAAGUUUGCGGGACUGAUUCGAAGGAUUUUUUUUGGACCAAGGACUGAAUCGAAAAGUGUUAAAAUGAGGGAUUGAAUUGAAGAAGGAUAUUGAAAGCUGGAGAGGGGAGUUAGAUCAUCAUAAAUGACGGGAUUUCUACCACACCGAAUGAGGAAAAUCACGUUUUUGUGCAGCCAUAAUUCAUAGGAAACAAUAGCCUUUGACAGCCGCAAAAUGCCAUAAAGAGAAUAACCUCACCAUCAUCUACUGGCUGGGAUUUUAUCUCUAACAUAGAUGGCUGGGAUGAUGUGUUAAUGUUGGAAAGAAAUCACUAGAAUCAGCACAUAAUCAAUGAGAAUAUUGUAGUUUCCUCAUUUGUAUUAUUUGACUGCAAAUCAGCUGGGAUUUGCAUCCUAGAUUAAUGCAUUGAAUCUUUCCUAAUAAGAGCUGUGUAUAGACUAUAUAUACUAUGCCUCUGCUGACCUAAAGAAAAGGAGGAAGACGGCAGCAAAAAGAGAGCAAAAAAUAGCAGAAAGAGAGAGCAUCAAAAGAAGAGAAAAAACGGAGAGAAAAGGGCAGAAAAAAACAGCCACAGACAGGAGAAAAACGCAGAGAAUAGAGAAAGUUUCUUUCAUUCUCCAGUAACGUUACUGUGACGUUGGAAAGAUUGAUAGUAGAAGAGAAUAAAAAAGAAGGAGAAAAAGAGAGGCAAGCAGCAGAAAAAAAACAAGAAAGAGCAAGAGAACACAGACACCACCAGCACAUCACAACUUCAACGUCAUUGUUUUCGUCCGUCAGGAGGCACGCGUGAGCUGUUUCUUGGUCUUUUGUUUCAUUUCCUGCAAAAAAAGGAUCUGCAGGUGUUUCUUCCCUAGUGCUCCAGCUGCGAGAACUUUAGGGACCCUAACGUUCUUUUCUCUUCUAACGCCUGCUGGAGGAAAGGUUAGCCGGCCAUGACUUUGUCUUUUUGUUUGUAAUAAAGCAUGCUUAUCCCAGUUUCUGUUUUGUUUCUCUGUUGGCGUUGUGAAACGAAUAAGGCAGUUUUGUUUUUAAGGUGAGGAAAUAAUGGGUUUGUGAGGCACGGACAUAGGGGUUGAUCUCAAAAUGUCAGUUUCAGAACUUUGGCUCCCUCUUGCAUAUGGGUUUAAUUAAUCCUUUCCAGUUACAGAAUUUUAAGUUGAUUUUGGCUUUGAACGAUUUUUGUUACGAAUUGUUUCAAGCUUCUUGUAAUUCUUAGAAUAUGAAUGAUGGCUUGCUACUUUCCAUUUUGGUGUUUACGUCUAAAUUGUGAUGUUUUGUGUUUUUUUUUUAAAAUAUAAAAAUGCUUUCUUGUGUGUUGUAUACGGCCAAUACCCUAAUAUAUUUUUGAACGCUUUUUUAUAUACAAAAAAUAUUGGAAGUUUUAAAAAUAUGUUUUUGCAUUGAUUUCUUAAACAUCAAAAAAUUUGUUUUCUUGCAUUUCUGGAUUUUACAACAUGUUUGAAAACUCCGAAGGGUAUUGGUAACAAAAUUUCAAAAACUAUAAAAAUCUUAUUUUGGGGGGAAAUUCAUCUAUUAUUCACCGCUAAUGUUUGGAUAAAGAAAUCCUUAAAGGACAAAUAUCCAAAAUAUUAUUGGGAGUAAUAAAUCCGCACACAUCCUUGGAAGAAGCCUUGAUUAUAAUCGAUGAUAUUUCAAAAUUUCAAAUUUUGACACCACGGUUUACGAGUCGUGAAAGUAUGAAAUACUAAGGCAAAAAGAGGCUUUUAAAGCGCUCUGAAUUUCCUUAGAUUUCUAAAUCUUUGUCCUUCCUUCUUGCGAUUUACGAGUCGCAAACUUUUGAAAUACUAAGGGAAAGAUGAACUUUUACAGCUCAUGGAAUCUCCUUGGAUUUCUAUCUUAAUAAAUUUGGUUUGAAUCAAACACAGAUUUCAAGAGAUCUGCAUUGGUUCUCCUUGGUACUUUAUAGACAUAUCUAAGGGUGUGAUCCACAUUGACCAAGGGUUCUUUUUUUUUAGACUUUGAGUCCAAGUUUGUUCAUCAUAGCAAACCUAUCAUAGGAAAACUGAUGGGAUUAGAAAACACCAACACCAUAGCAAUUAUAAGACAAACCAAACACCAAGCAGCUUACCUUAGGUAGGGUGUAUUAGGGGUGCUAAUACCUUCCCUUUACGCAACCAGUCCCUUGCCUUAGAAUCUCUGAAAGACCAUUUAGGGUUCCUAGUGACUAAAAUACUAGGUGACGACUCCAAAGAACCAAUCAAGCAAAACAAACGAAAAAAUCGCUAUUGAAUUGCCGCGUGGGGGACGUACGACAAUGCUCAUGCACAAUAACCAGCUAUGGUGGGCUGGGCUUGGGUCGAGCCCAUGGAUCUUGGGCCUGGUUCGGCCCAGCCCAUGCAAUUGGGCAUGGUUCGGCCCAUUAAAAAAAAAGAGUAAAGAAAAAAGUAUAGUUUUAAUAUUUAUGAUUUUCCCACCUUUUGAUUUUUACCUUGUUUGCUUAAUAUCGGUAUGUAUUUUAUGUUGUUAAAAAUACAAAAUCCAGUAUUAAAAUACCCAGUUUUUGUCAAAACUUCCAAAAAUUCAAAAGAAUUUGAAAUAAGAGAGAAAAAUAUUUUUGUGCAUACGGCCAAGUGUCUCAAAGCUAAAAAAAUCAUAUUGUAUUUUUCAUACACCAAAAAACAAUGUUUUAGCAUGCAUUUUGGCUUUAAUAACUAGUUUAUUAAAGUCAAGAGAAAAUUGGCCAAAAUUUCAAAAAUAAUAAAAAUUUUAUUUUGUUUUGUUUUAGUAUCAUGGAUUACGAAUUUAUACAUAAAACACAUUCCUGAUAUUAAAAAGGUAUUUCUUGUUGACAACAUAAAACAGUUAGGUUUUACCCCAUUAAAAUAAGAACCUUUUUAUAGAGGAGGGCUUUUCUUAAAUGUUCGACAUACAAGACCAACAACUAGAAACCACAAUAAGAUCUUAGACAUUAAAACAAUGUAGCCUACCUUAGGUAGGGCGUAGUUAGGGUGCUAAUACCUUCCUUUUACACAACCAGUCUCCAUACCCCAUCUCUAAGACUAGUUAGGGUUCCUAGUGACCAAAAUACCAAGUGGCGACUCCCAUUCAAAUUUUUCACUGAUAGGAGACAAGAAUUCCUUGUCUCUCCAUAUUUGUACAAGAUAAACCAUUACAUUCCAUUUUUCCUUGAGUGAAUGAUUUGAAACAGAGGGGACAAUAUAAAGAGAAGGAAACAAAGGAGGUGAAAAAUAGGGGGAGACUAAGGAAAGAGUUGAUGGGGGGUGGUUGUUUAAGAAUAGAGGAUGAAGGAAGAGAGAGAAAUGGAGAAAAAGAGGAGAGAAAGAAGAACUAAACUAAAGCACAUAAAAUAGAGAAAGAAAAGGAAAGGAAAGGAGAAGGGAGGAAACAAAAAGAAGGAAGGAACAGGAAGGAAAAAAAGGGGCACCACUGCUUACCUUCCUUUUCACCGCCAUAAGAAUUGCCUUGAGCCACCAUCGACAACAACAACACCACCAUCAGAAACAGAAGAAGGAACAAAGAAGCGAGGGAAUUGAAACAAAAAGAAGAAGCAACACAGAAACAUAAAAAAGGGAGGAGGAACUGCUGCCUGGAACCGCUGCCUACUGCCACAACACCGCCACCAUGAACAACAACACCUCACCGCGAGGUCAGUCCCUCUUCUUCUUCUUCUUCCCUUUCUUUUUAUGCUUCCCCUUUUCCACGCUCCACUGUUUACAUAGCAUGUGAACAAUUUGGCUUAAUAUUGGUGUUGCACCCGACGUCGCAGCGACCCUCUCCAGGAGCGGGAAUUGAUUUCGGGUUUUUUUUUGUUUUAUGAAUAAAGAAGUUGCCACCUAGUAUUAUGGUCACCAGGAAACCUAACUAGUCUUUUAAAGAUUCUAAGACAAGGGACUGGUUGUGUAAAGGGAAUGUUUUAGCACCCCUAGUAUGCCUUACCUAAGGUAAGUUGCUUGGUGUUUUGUUUGCUUUAUAAUUGCUAUGGUGUUGGUGUUCUCUAAUCCCAUAAGUUUUCCAAGGAUAAAUUUGCUACGAUGAACAAACUUGAGUUCAAAGUCUAAGAAAGAAUCAUUGGCCAAUGUGGAUCAUACCUUAGGUAUGUCUACAAAGUACCAAGGAAAACCAAUGCAGAUCUCUUGAAAUCUGUGUUUGAUUCAAACUAAAUUUGCAACUCAUGGAUUAGGAAACAACUAAGAUAGAAAUCCAAGGAGAUUCAAUGUGCUUAAAAGUUCAUUUUUCCUUAGUAUUUCAAGUGUCUGUGACUCGAAAAUCGCAAAGAAACAACAACAACAACAACAACAAUAAUAAUAAACUAAGUUAGAAACGUAAGGAAAUUUAAGGUCCUUUAAAAGCCCAUUUUUUACUUAAUAUUUCAUACUUUCAUGACUUAUGAACCGUGGAACAAAAAUUGAAAUGUUCCCAAUUAUAAUUGAGGCUUCUUUUAAGGAUGUGCAAUUAAAUUGUUCUAAAUAAGAUUUUGGGCAUAAAUCUACCCUUAUGAUAAAAAUGAACAAGUUGUAUUACUGAUGCGAACCUCGUGAUCACGUGGUCACGCAACUCACAAUCAAGAUUGAGAUCUAAUCCCGAAAAGCCAAAUAAAUCAGGUUUGAUAGGAGUGUGACACAAAGAUAACUUGUACCUAGGCACCAACACUAUUGAAAACGUAAACCCCCAACCCAAUGAAUAUUGAUUCGCGAACAAGAAGUAUAAGGAUGAUGCCGCGAAGACAGUUGUUCCUCGAUAAGUUGUUUUUCAGUUCUUUAGAGAACCAUGGAAGGGAGAUUAUCUCACCAACACAAAGUGCGGCAAACAAGAAGUUUUAUUAAUUUGAAUUGUCUUCUUUGCAUGUCUGGUUAUGCCCUUAUUUAUAGUGACUCCAAACUAAAAUAAACCAUAAUGGACCCCUUAUGUGGACUUAUAUGAUGCCCACUUACAAUUAUACCCAAAUAAUAUAAAUAAACCCUAAACUAAGAAGAAAAUAACAAUAAAAUUAAUAAAUCCAAAUUUAAAAUCCUAAAUAUGAUAGAAUCAUAUUUGUUACCCUUUAGAAGUCCCAUAUAAGAUAGGAGAAUCAAAUCUGAUGGUGGAAUUAGUUCUGAAAUCUUCUUUCCUUUUUGUAGUUAGGAUGAAUAAGGAAUCGUUGUAAGAAAAAGAUUCUGAAACAUUUAUCAAUCCUUGCCACACUUGGAAACUAUGUUGCAGCCCAUUAAAGAUCUUUGUAGAAUUAAGAGAUUCCCAAAAUAAGCUGCCACAUCCUUUUAGGAAAAGAAUCUUAGCCAAAUAGGAAGUCCACAAGUCAAAAGGAAGUAAAUAACAAAACCCAUACAACCUCUGUUGAUCCGUGUUUGGAUGCCUUGCCGAACUCUGAUUGACAUGAUAUUUUAACCAUAUGUAGGAAAACAUGUCAGGAGACUCCACGUAAACUUUCAAUCCGAUCCAAUGGUAGGAUUGAGAAUUAUAACUCUUGGUGUAAAACUGGAUAGUUGCACAUUUUACGUCAAAAUCCGAAUUUGACCUUGCAUGGAUCGUAAAAAUGAACAAGUUGAAUUACUCUCAACAAUAUCUUGGACAUUUACCUUUCAUAGGUUUCUUUGUCCUUAUAUUAUUAAGGGAUAAUGAUGUAUUAUUCCUAAAAACAUAUUUUGGGUAUUAACCACUUAGUGUUUCUUUAUCCAAAUAUUAACAGUGAAUAAUAACAGGUUAUUCCUAAUAAUAUGUAAGGGUAGUGGUCGUAUGCAGUAUAUAAGAAAAACAUAUAUAUAUAUUUUUAAAAGAACAAGUAUCACAGUUAAUUGCAAUUAAAUACAACAAACCAUGUAUAUAUAUUCUCAAAAUUUGCAAGGAGAAAAAACAAAUUACACACACACAUCCAUUUUUACUAUGCUCCACUCACACAUCAUUUUUACAUGAUACAACACAGAAAUUGCAAAAUAGACCCCAAAUAUUCAGGAAUUGCAGAGGAAUACUUUUGGGAAUGUAAGAACAAUGGCGACGCAUCUGCUCUAUGCACCGCUGCCACUAGCGGUGCAUGGGUUCACGCGCCACCGCAGGAAAAAACAGGGGAUAUGUGAAGUAUGAGACCAACGCACCACCACUGUUCCUGCAACUUGGAAGCUUCCCAGCAUUGUUCCUAAAUUUCUAGCAAUUUCUCCAGAUUAAUUUGUGAAUUUUAGGAGGCCUAUUUUGUAAAUUAUAAAUGUCUAUUGUGUGUGUGUUUGAACUGUAUUGAAUUUUGGUGAUAUGUAAAAAAUGUAAUUGUAGCUUGUGUUAGUAAAAUAUAAUAAAACAAAUGUGUGUGUGUGUGUGUUUGUAUGUUCUUACAUUUUUUUGAAUAUUUAAAACCAAAAGGAUAAAAAAAAUAGAGAUUAUGAAUGCUACCUGGAUUGCCCAUCUCUACUUUAAAGAGGUGGCUCAUUUAAAUGAGAUUCCUAUGUGCAUUACAUUUUAAUUGAAAGUAUUUUCACCACAACACACGAGUUGUGAAAAUUUCUUCUGCCUUUCAAGAUAGGUGAACCCUGUCAACGUACCUAUAUGAACCUUUUCCAUAAGAAUUUAUUUGGACACACGAGCCCAUAAUAAAUUCAAAACGUUAGAUUUAUUCACAUGAAUAAAUCUUCAUCAGAUGACAAACAAAUUGUUGGUUAGAAACUCAUCAAAACCCUUAAAACAUAUUCAGAUCAUACAAUGCAGCUUACAUCGAGUAUGGUGUGCUAAGGGUGUUACCUCAGGUAAGGUGUACUGGGGGUGUUGUUGCGAUGUUGCGGUCACACAAAUUAAUUACCCUAACUUAAAACACAACAUACAAGAUAGUAUAGAUCAAGCAAGGGGUUGAUCCCACGAGGAAGGUUCAAGUCAGAUUUUUAUGCUAUACAUUAUGCAAUUGAGAGGUUUGGUUUGUGAUUAUCUAGACUAUGACAGAAUCAAACAAUCAAUCAAAAAUUAAAUAAAACUAAAAUUUAUCAAGAAAACAAACAUUGGUCGCAAAUAAACAUUCACCUAUAGAAAUCAGAAUUGAUCAUAGAAACGAGACGUCAAUUUAUAUUCUGAAUAUCUAUAUUUUUUUAUGUUGAUUAGUUAACUGAUUCGUUGUAUAACUAAUCCUAACCAUCAAAUAAUCAUAAUUUAUGCACUACUAAUUUAAUUCAAUGGUAGCCUUAAGAACUAGAUGGGUUGAUUAAUCUAGACAACAUAAUUGUUCGCAGUCCAUAUUUGAUUUGAUCAGUCGAAUGUUCUCCCUAAUAUUACUAAUCUAGACCUACCACAAUUAUUAAUCUCAGUUGCUUCACAAGUUUAUAUACCACAACUCCGGUUUUGAAAGCAAACUUAGUAAUAGAUUGUUCACAAUAAGAACUUAGAGUCCGCUCUAGCAAUUAAAAUAAACAAUCAUAGGAAAUAAGCAUAGGAGAACAAACAUAUUCAUUCAUCAUAUAAACUGAAAAGUAAAGGUAAAAUAGAUCUCACAGUUCUUGAAAUCCAAAAGUUUUUGUGUCCUUACAGCCAAGAAAAAGGGUUUAGCCUUGCAUGUCUAUUGAACAACUAACCAAAAAAAAGAAGAAGGCAUGAAUUUGGGUUUGUGGGAGAAAGGGUUUGUGUUCCUCUCUUCUAACCAUCCCCCUCUCUCCCUUCUCUCUAUCUUUUUGUAUAAUAGGAAACCCAAGUCUCUAUUUUACAAAAUAGUCCUUCCUUAAGUAGACAAUUUACAUUUAAGUACUUCACUAACUAUUUUUCUAAAAAAGAAGAAAUAACCCUGCAUGAAAUCUUCAAGCUAUGGAUGUCAGUUUGGAUGUUUUGGGAUGUAAUUUGGACUCGUUUCUUCACAAAACCUGUUUGAUGGCAGAGUUUAUCUGUCAUCUUAAAAAAAUCAUAUCCCCAUCAUAUGAGAUCUGUUUUGGAUGAAACUUGGUGUGUUGAUAGGUCUUUCAGUCAGGAAUCGAAAAAAAAUGAUUUUGCAUCAAAUGGACUUCUUUAGCUCAAGAUAUUCAAGUUGGAAUGGCCAAAAGGUCAACACUGGCAGAUUGCGAAAUUUAACUUUGAAGGCUGCGAUUUUCAUGCUCUUUCUUAUUUUAUUUUCUUAACUUAGAUGUCCAGAAAGGUAUGGAUGUUAGCUUUUUAAUGCCAUUAGAAUCACUUCAUUUCAACCUUUAGAGCUCACGCUCUGCACAAAACAUGGACUAAAGGUCAAAUUUUUCAAUUACCUCCAAUUUGCUCCUUUUUACAUAUUUCAUCCAAAAGUGCCUACAAAACAUAAAACAAAUAAUAUCAAGACAUUUUAUAUAAAAAAUAUAGGCAAAACACUAAUUAAAUAUGGUUAAAAUUAUUGAAUAAUAUAGUUAUAUCAGGUGCUAAUAUCUUUAUUAGCUACAACCAAUCUCUUACAUUUAAAUUUUUUUAUAAAACUACUACAUUCAAGUUUCUUAACUAUUAUGAAUCAGAUGAUAAAUCUCUUGAGCAUUCAACACCUCGCGUACAUACAACUAACAAUUAUCCAUAAUACAUGGCGUCCCACAUCAAACACGUUAUUCUAGAAUAUCAGGGGUUGAAUGUGGUACUAGAUUUAUAUAAAAAAAGAAAUUGAACAAUACUACUCCCAUUUAAAAAAUAAAUAAAUAAAACAAACCCAUGAAAAAAGUAAUGGAAAAAGGAUGACAACUCACUUACAGAAAGUUAACUGACCGAGUAGGCUAAAGGUUUUGGAAUUAUAGGGUUUAAGAAAAGAUUAAUGUUCAAAUUAAUGGUCCCCUACAAAGAAACAGUGAGCUCAUUGCUGAGCACCACCAUCACAUUUGUUCAGAGGAAAAACGAGUUUCAUUGUAUCAAACCUAUAAAUUAUCUUUCUCGUUAUUUUAAAGUAUCAUUAAUUUUACUCUUUCAAACAUAAGAACUCAAAAAAAAAUAUUAGAGUCCAGCAUAUUUUGGGCUGUAAGAAAAUAUAAUACAUGAUAUUGCAUUUAAAAAUGUUGCCAGUAUUGUGGGAGACAAUUUAUUAUUCGUAGCUUGAUACUGAUUGAUUUCCCAUAACAACGUUGAUGCAUAGCAUUCAGCUCAUUACUAUCAAUGUCUACAAUUUUAUUUUAUCAAAUCGUUCACAACAAAAAAAACAAAAGCAAAGAAAAUAAUAAUAAUAAUAAUAAUAAGCAAAGAGUACAAUGAAUGCGUACGAAUAGCAAUUUAUGUUUUUUUUUUUUAAUUGUCUUUUCAAAAUGUCAUGUAUUACCUAAAUUCAUAAUUAAUUAAGUAAUUAAAUGCGCUCUUGCAUCGAAAGUUCUCAUUCUUAUUCGUGCUAGCUUGAUUUCUUUUUCAAUUAAUUAUAUAUGCAAGUUGAAGUACAAUAAGCGGGGUGGUUUUCCCUUUCAGUUUUUUAGUGGUGCAGGCGAGACGGUGUGGCAGUGUGUUAAAUAAAAAAGAACGCAGUUCUCUUAGAAACGGAAAAACCACCUGACAUGUGCAAUAUAUAUGCUUGUUGAAGAUCACACAUGAAGUUGAUUGGAUUAACAAGGAUACAUAAUUUAAUCCAAAAACUUGGUCCUAGGUGAGAAUAAUUGGGAGGCUUGACCUAAUGGCUAGCCAACCCUUUCUAUAUAUAUGUGUAGGGCAAUGUACAAUAAUAAUGGUGGAAGUUACCACACACAAAAGUAUGUAGACAAUAUUUCCUAUACAGUAUUUCCUAUAUAAGUGCAUUCUAUAAUUAAUAUGCCCCCUUAAGCCGAGGGUGGAGGAUCAACCCGAAGCUUGAAACGAAAAGUAGUAAAGGAAGAAGUAGGAAGUGGUUAGUGAAGACAUCAUCAAGUUGACCCCGAGAGGAAAUAAAACGAAUUUGAAUUUCCUUCUUGGCAACUCUAUCUCGGACAAAAUGAUAAUCGACCUCAACAUGUUCUGUGCGAGCAUGAAAGACAGGAUUCGCAGACAAAUAGGUGGCAAGAUAACAUACCAGCCCGAGUGAGGAUAUCAAGUGUAUAUUUAUGCUGGCAAAGCAUAAGACCCAUACUAGUAGAUUGAACCUCAAUACCCAAAAAAUAAUGAACAAAACCCAAGUCACGAAGCUUAAAUUCUGAGCUUAGUAGCUGAAUGAGGCGUAGGAGCAGAAGAGAGUUGCUACCUGUAAGAAGAAUAUCAUCAACAUAGACCAGAAGAUAACAAAUAUUAGCACCAACAGAGAAGAUAAACAAUGAGGUAUCCACCUUAGAUGCACGGAAACCAAUACAUAACAUGAAAUCAUUCAGACGAGUGUACCAAGCUCGCGGAGCCUGUUUUAAACCAUAUAGAGAUUUAUGUAAGCGACACACAUGAGAGGGCAGAGCAGAAUCAACAAAACCUGGAGGUUGUUUCAUGUAGACCUCCUCGUCAAGAACACCGUUAAGGAAGACAUUAAGGAUAUCAAGCUGAUGAAUUUUCCAACCACACGAAACGAUAAUGGAGAAGACUAAUUUGACGGUCGCCUGUUUGAUGACAGGACUAAAGGUUUCAGAGUAAUCAAUACCUUCUUGCUGAGUGAAACCCCUAGCAACCAAACGCGUUUUAUACCUCUCGAUGCUACCAUCAGAUUUGCGUUUAAUCUUGUACACCUACCAACUACCAACAACAUUCAUGGAGGGGUGAAACGGUACUAAGGUCCAAGUCCUGUUUGGGCGUAAGGCCUGAAUUUCCUCAUGCAUGGCACUAUGCCAUGCCUCAUAUCUGUUAGCAUCAUUAAAAACAAGUGGCUCAUGAGAGGGAGGAGAAAUUGCCCCGCUGAAAGAGGCAACAGAGCUUGAGGUAGUGGCAGUGGACAACGUUGGCUUAGGUUGUCUUAGACAGAGGACCAUGGGAUGUUGACGAGCUGCUGGACAUGGAGAAGUGUGACCUGUAACUGGAAGGUGAUGAAGAGGAUAUGAAGAGAGGUCUACACAAAGCUGCAGACUAGCUGGAGACGUAGUGGAUGGACUGGUCGAAAUUGUAGAAGAUGGGGAGGCUGCAGCAAAGCUGGGAUGUUCUACAGCAGAACCUGGCUUUGCUGCAAUAGACCAAAGAACAUGUGCAUCUGAUGAUAGAGAACCUGUUCUUGCACAAUUGUUGUAACCCAUUUUCGAGUCCCCACAAAAAUAAAUAAAAUAAAUAGCCAAAGGAGGUUAGAAAAAUAAUAGGAGGCAGAAGCGCUCAGAAAAUGGUCAGAAAAAUCGGUCAAGGAGGUUAAAAAUACAAAGAUGGAUUUUUGACAAUUUAUUAUUGAAUGAUAAGAGCCCUGGUGGAUAAGAAAAUUUGAUUUUUGAGGAGAAAACUCCAAAUUUGGAGGUUUAUGGACUUAAUUGGAUUUUUAAUUGAAUUUAUAGAGGAUUUGAGUGCAAGAAAAAUUGAUUUUUAAGUCAAUUUGGGCUUUAAUUAGAAGAAAUUUAAGUUCUGGGGCCAAAAUAUAUUUUUUAGGAAUUUAUUGGGUCAAAUCAGGGGCUUAAUUGCAUAAAUAUUGAAGUUUAAUGGCCAAUUAGGGACUUAUUUGAGAAAAUCCGAAACCAGAGACCAAUUUGGAAAAGACGCGUAAAUAGGGGGGCUCUUUUGGAUUGAUCCGGGGUCAAAUUGAAGAAAUUGAAAACUGGAGGACUAAUUUAAAAAAACGGCGCAGGGAAACCAGGCGACACGUUGCCCGUUACUGUUCACUUUCUUCCUCAAAAAGGUGCCUGAGUGGCUACUUGCCAGGUGCAUUUUCCAGCUCGUGGCCUCCAAAUCCGACAAAAUGUGCACCAACAUGUCCACAUGAAACCCCUUUAUCCCGGAGAAUCGUCCGGUAGGGUCGAAAAAGUUAGAAACGACUCCUUUGAGUGGCACAAAGUGGCCACCUUGGGUAGUUCACAGCCUUGAGCUGCCAAAUUUGGCAGCUCGAGGUGCACACUUUGAACCAGUGGCUUGGAUGCCUCGGGUCCAAUCAAGGGCUGCAAAUUUUCCCUAAUGUAGACAAUGUUGCCCUCUUGCACUGCCUAUAAAUAGAAUCUCUGUUGAAGACCUGGAGGAGGAAAAAUUCGGGUCAAAAGUCCACCGCUGCAGAUUUUUCGCCCAAUUUCUGCAGAUUUUUCUUCUUCUUUCUUCCUCUGCAACAGGAAACCGACGCCGUCUUCCUCCAACUCCACCGCUGCAACCACCGGCCAAGUGAGCCCCUCUUCCUUUCCUCCUCCUUCCUUUUCCUCUUCCUUUCCUCCUUUUCUUCUUCUUCUUCCUUCUUUUCUUCUUCUUCCUCCUUACCUACUGUUCACUGCAUGAACAGUAGGCGUGAAAUAUAAUUCACGUCCUACUGUUCACGCAGGACGUGAAUUAUAUAUAUAUAUAUAUGUGUGUGUGUGUGUGUGUGUGUGUGUGUGUGUGUUAAUUUUAUAAAAUAAAAAUAAAAAAAUCUUUGCAUAUUAUAUGUAUAAAAUAAGAAAAAAUUUUGAAAAAUCUUUGAAAAAUAUUGUUGAUUUUCUGCAUUUUUGUCAAAAUGGCUUAAUAAUGGUUUUUUUUUUAUACCGUAGAGAUAUAAAUUUAUUAUUAAAAUACCCGGUUUUCGUCAAAACAUCAAAGAUUUUCAAAAUAAAAAAUGUUUUUUUGCUUCCAAAAAAAUUCUAAAAAAUCCUUAAAAAUAUUGUUGAUUUUUCCUGCAUAUUUUAUUAGGGUGGAUUAAUAUUGGUUUGUAUUUUUAUACCGUAAGAAUACAAACCCAGUAUUAAAAUACCCGAUUUUCGUUAAAACAUAAAAAAAAUAUAUAUUUUCCAAAAAAUGUUUUUGUUUUAAAAUACGGCCUAGUCUCUCCAAUAUAUAUAUAUAUAUAAAUAUUAUAACAUCAUAUUUUCACACAACAAAGGAAAUUUUCAAAACAAUAUAUGUAUUAGCAUGCAUUUUGGCUUUAAUAACCAGUUUAUUCAAGCCAUGAGAACUAGGCCAAUAUUUCAAAAAUUCUAAAAAAAAUCUUUUUGUUUUCUUUUAGUAUUUGGGAUUACGAAUUUAUACGUAAAACGUAUUCCUAAAUAUUAUUAAUAAAGUUUUGGUAUAGACGUUAGAACGGUUAGGAUUUUACCCGAUAAGAUAAAGACCUUCUUACCGAGGAGGAUUUUUCUUGAACCAUAGACAGACCAACGACUAGAAGUACAAUAACACCUUAGUUUUUAUCAGACAAUAAAACAAUGCAGCUUACCUUAGGUAAGGCGUAUUUGGGGUGCUAAUACCUUCCCUUUACGUACCCGAUCUCUGAGACCAGUUAGGGUUCCUAGUGACCAAAAUACUAGGUGGCGACUCCCAUUCCAUUUUCCACCAAUAAACGACAAGAAUUUCUUGUCUCCCUAUAUUUUCCAAAUAGAUAUAGAUAGAUUUACAUUGUAGAUUUAAAAUGGAAAAUAACCCAUUGUUAUUUUCGUCGCGACGCCGCACACGUGCGACAACAAUAAUCAUGGGAAAGACAAGCAUAUGGUGACAGUAUGGCAGUAUGGGAUAGGGAUGAAGGGGUGGCAGAAGCUAUGGUUAAAGGGAUGGUCUGGUGGGGUGCGGUAGAGGGCAGAAUUGGAUUAUUUGGAGGAGACAUUUGGGGAGUAGUAGGCGGAAAACAUGGAGGAGGGUUCAAGGAUGGAAGAUAGGUAGGUCGUGUGGGAGCUACGGGUGAGGAUGUUACCUGUUCAGACUUCUCAAAAGGAAAGACAAUUUCAUAAAAACAAACAUGACGGGAGACAUAAAUACGAUUAGAUUCUAAAUCAAGACAACGAUAACCAAGAUGGGAUGAGCUAUAGCCUAAAAACACACAAGGAGAAGACCAGAAAUCUAAUUUAUGAGCAUGAUAUGGACGCAAAAAGCGGAAACAAAGACACCUAAAAGUACAUAGGUAGUUAUAAUCAAGAGUGUGAUGAAACAAACACUCAAACAGAGAUUUAUUUUGGAGAACAAGAGUAGGCAUGAGAUUAAUAAGGUAUACCGAUGAUUCAAAAGCAUAGUUCCAAAAGCGCAAUGGUGCACUACAUUGGCCUAAAAGAGUGAGGCCAGUUUCGAAAAUAUGUCGAUGACGACAUUCAACAGUGUCAUUUUGUUCAUGAGUAUGAGGAAAAAUUAACCGAUGAUGAAUACCAAUGGUUUGAAAAAAUUUAUUUAAUUUAUGAUAUUCACCGACCCUAUCAGUUUUAACAUAUUUAAUUUUAAGGGAAAAAACUGACGCUCAACAAGUGUUUGAAAACGUUGAAAAGUGGAAAAGACAUCAAAUUUCGCAAUAAGUAGAUAAUACAAUAUAUGUUUGGUAUGUGCAUCGACAAAAAUAACAAAAUAACGGAAGCCAUCAGAAGAAAACAUAGGGGCAGGACCCUAAACAUCACUAAAAAUUAAUGCAAGUGUGGCAGAAGUUUUGUGACUCGUAGGUCGUAAUGAUAAACGGGACGACUUUCCUAAAGGACAAGCUUCACACUAAGUAAGAGAACGUAUAAAAGUACAUAUGAUUUUAUUGCCGGAAACUAAGAAAUUGAAAAUGCAAGGGGUUGGAUGACCCAAACGACGAUGCCACAGGUCUGCAGUCGCGGAGAUGCAAGGAGACCAAAAAGCUUGAGGAACUGACGUGGCAGAAGACUCAGAGAGGACAUAAAGACCAUCAUGACUUUGACCGGAAAGGAGAACUUCCUUGGUGACGAGAUCCUUCACAUAAAACAUAGAAGUCUGAAAUUCAAAAUAAACAUGAUUAUCACAACAUAAUUUUUGAAUAGAUAACAACGGUUUGGUAAUGUGAGACACAUAGAGAACAUUAGAUAAUGUAAACAUGUGUUUUGGGGAAUGUAAUUUAGUAUGUCCAAUAUGGGAUAUGUCAAGGCCCUUACCAUCACCAACAUGCAAAUAAUCAUUAGCAAUAUAGGGUGCAGAAUCGGUCAGAGUUCCAAGAUCAAGUGUGACGUGUUGAUUUGCGCCGGUGUUGGGGAACCAAGUCGCAGCAGAAAUAUUCCCAACAGCAAGAUAAGAAGAGGGCUGCUGAGAGUUGUUAUGAAAUUGGGAACAAUGGGGAGUUGUGUGCCCAAAACGGAGCAUAAUUGGCAGUCUACAUGCUACUGUCUAGACCACUGCCCAGUCCCGGAAUUGUGCCUGUUCUGCGGCCAGUGGUUUGGCCGCUAAUCUACAGCAGAUUGGCCCCUGUUGCGGCUGAAGUUGGGGUUGUGAUGAGACAUAGUAUGGUGUGCAUAAAAUUAUGGUGUUGGCAGCAGAGGUGGCUUUGCGGCAGAGAAGAAGAAGACAACAGAGAGGGAGCGACAGCCAUGGAAUUGAAAGAGUUUUUGUGUAGAAAUUAAUGGGUAAGAAGGUGGCUGUGAAGAUCAGCAUAGGAUAGCAGUUCUGCCUUGGUUAUGAGACUCUUUACCAAGUCUUUAAAGUCGUCAGGAAGGCCACGAAACACAUAAAGAUUGAAAUCUUCAAGAGACAUGGGGCGACCAGCAUCAGCCAAUUCAUCAAAUAACGAUUUGGCUUGCUGCAUGUAUAGACUAACCAAUGAGUCACCUUGCCAAAGGUCUUGAAAGGAGCCAUGGAGUUGCAUGAUGCGAGAAUUAGACGGAGAGGCAAGCGCUUUCUCAAGAGUGCGCCAAACACAAUGUGAAGUGGAACAAUCUACCACGAGAUGCAACACAUCCACGAAGAGAUGAGAGCAAAGCACUCAAAAUAAGUUGAUCCUGUUGCUUCCAACGAAGAAAAGAAGGACUGAUGGUAGAGGAAGAACUAGCAAAGUUGUCAAAAAUAUGAGAUGGAGGACACGACACUGAGCCGUCAACGAAGUGCAAAACACCUUGACCAAGGAGAUUUGGCUUCAUUUGCAUUCUCCAAUAGAGAUAAUUUGUGUUCAUAAGUUUCAACGAAACAAUUUGGUGAGUGUUCGCUAAACGAACAAUAGCUGUAGUGUGGGUUCCCAUGAGAGAUAAAGGAACGACAGGGACUUGGGAGGAAGAAUCAGAGACAAGCUUUGCAAGUGGAGGCUACUAUGGGGGAGAAAAGGCACCAGUGGCAGCAACUUGGGGAUGGUUGGCCGGUUGUGCUGCACCACCGGUGGGGAGGGAGAAGUCGGAGGCAGUAGUAGAAUCCAUAUAGAGAAAGUAAAGAGAGGGCUGGCUGCAAAGGGAGGAAGGGAGAAAAGAGUUCUGAUGGUAGAAGGCUCUGAUACUAAGUUAAGAAUAAUUGGGAGGCUUGACCUAAUGGUUAGCCAACCGUUUUUAUAUAUAUGUGUAGGGCAAUAUACAAUAGCAAUGGUGGAGGUUACCACACAAGAGUAUGUAGACAAUAUUUCCUAUACAAUAUUUCCUAUAUAAGUACAUUCUAUAAUAGUCCUAAAUCCAAAAUUUUGUUUCUACAAAAUUCAACUUGUCUGUGCUUGGAUACUUUGCUUAAAAGAUGAACAGAAUAUUUAUGUGCUGGAAUUUAUGUUGUUCUUUCGGGAAACAGGUUAGAGUGAAAUAAAAAAUUUCAAGUUGACAAAAUCUAACGUUUACUAAAGAAUUAUUAUCCAGUGACAACUAAUGAAGCCUAGAGGAACAGCUAAUAAGGCCAAAACCAGCAGAGGGAAAAGAAUGGAAAGAGACAAAACAUAAAGCUUACUUAGAGAAGAGAGAAUCAAAGAUUGAAAAGGAAGAAUCUAGCAAAAAAUAGAAGAUUUGAAGAAGAAUUUUUCAUUUUGACAAUAUAUCAAACAAAUAAUAGACAAAUAAAUUAUUAUGAAAGAAUUGUUUGGAUAAGGAGAUAAUAAUGCCAAAAACAAAGAUUAGCAAGCAGAAGAUCACAUGAUCACAAGAUAUUAAAAAUCCUAAGCUCUGAUACCAUGUUAGGAAAGUAAGAUCUACAUAGAAAAGGAAUAGAGAUGAAGAAAAGCAAAGAAUAGAGAUGAAGAAAAAUAAAGAGUGAUUCUGUUAAACAGAGAAGAAGAACUUUAGCACUGAUUUUUUUAUUAAUUGAUUUCAGUUCUCUUAUCUGACAUAUGUUUAUAUAUGCUAUAGUAAAAAGGUUAUACACAUUAUAUAUUCUCUCUUUAUUUGCACUGAAACAAUGCUAACUAAUUCUCUUAGCUGACAAACAAUACUAACAACAUUCUAACAAUAUCAUUCUCUAAUGUUUUGAUAUUUGGCAGGACUAGAGCCUUUGAUAUCUUUACAUUUUCACCACAACACACAAGUUGUAAAAAAUUAUUUUGCCUUUCAAGAUAGGUGAAUCCUGACAGUGUACCUACAUGAACUUUUUCCAUAAGAAUUUAUUUGGGCACACGAGGCCAUAAUAAAUUCAAAACACAAGACUUAUUUAUACGAAUAAAUCUUCAUCCCAAGACAUAAACAAUCAUUUAUCCUUAAAAUCUUUGAUAAAACUAGUACAUUCAAGUUUUUUAACAACUGUGAACCAAACAACGAGAUCAUAACUCACUUGACCAUCCAACAUCAAACGUAAACGAGCGACAUCACUAACAAUUAUCCAAAAUACAUGGCACAUAUUGGUUCCACAUCAAACACAUUAUACUAGAAUAUGAGGGGUUGAAUCUGGUCCUAGUUUUAUAUAAAAAGAGAAAUUAAACAGUACUCCCAUUUAAAAAUAAAUAAAUAAAACAAACCAAUGAAUAAGUAAUGGAAAAGGAUGACAACUCACUUAUAGAAAGUUAACUGACCCAGUAGGCUAAAGGUUUUAGAAUUAUAGGGUUUAAGAAAAAAUAAAUGUUCAAAUUAAUGGUCCCCUACAAAGAAACAAUGAGCUCAUUGCUGAGCAAAAUUAGGUCAUGUAUUAUCUAAAUUCAUAAUUAAUUAAUUAAAUGCGCUCUUGCAUCGAAAGUUCUCAUUCUUAUUCGUGUUAGUUUGAUUUCUUUUUCAAUUUAUUAAAUAUGCAAGUUGAAGUACAAUAAGCGAGACGGUGUGGCAGUGUGUUAAAUAAAAGAAGAACGCAGUUCUCUUAGAAACGAAAAAACCACCUGACAUGAAGUUGAUUGGAUUAACAAGGAUACAUAAUUUAAUCCAAAAACCUGGUCCUAAAUCCAAAAUUCAGCUUGUCUGUGCUUGGAUACUUUGAUUAAAAGAUGAACAGAAUAUUUGUGUGCUGGAAUUUACGCUGUUCUUCCGGGAAACAGGUUAGAGUGAAAUAAAAAAUUGCAAGUUGACAAAAUCUUACGUCUACUAAAGAAUUAUUAUCCAGUGACACCAACGUUCAAUCUAUAUUUCUUUUUGAUGGAUAGAAUCAAUCGAAGGACAGCUAAUGAAGCCUAGAGGAACAGCUAAUGAGGCCAAAAGUAACCAGCAGAGGGAAAAGAAUGGGAAGAGACAAAACCUAAAGCUUACUGAAGGCAGCAACUCUCUGGGUGUAUAUAUGUAUUCAUCGUGCACCAAAUGAUCUCUCACAACAAAUUAGCUGCGAGACUCUUUCCCUCCAUCGACAGAGUGCACAAUCAGAUCCGAAGGAGAUGAUCACAGAGCCACUCUUGAGCAGCCCGAAGGGAGGCAUAAGAGCCUUGUUUUUCAUCAUAGGUAUUUAAAUUAUGUAUAUAUUAUGACCAACAGGUUACUUGGCAGCUUAUAUAUAUAUAUAUAUAUAUUGACAGCAAACGAGGCACUGGAGAGGCUAGCAAGUUUUGGGCUAUCAACAAAUAUGAUACUGUAUUUGACUAGAGAGUAUGGUAUAGAUGCAGCUAGCGGUGCCCAAAUACUCUUCCUCUACUCAGCUGCUGGGAAUUUCAUGCCCAUUAUUGGGGCUUUUCUUGCUGAUACAUAUGUGGGUCGAUACCCGAUGAUCGGCUUUGGAUGUAUUGCGAGCCUUCUGGUAACAUUAUUUCUUUCCAGCUUUAAAUUUACUAAACGUGUUAAUUUGUUUAAUUAAAUUUAAAAUUUAUAACAUUUUAUAGUAUUAACCUCUACAAAUUUUAAAUUUAAAGGAUUUUCAAUUAAAAUAUGUUAUAAUACAUAUUAUUUUAUAUCGAACUCAUUAAUAACUUCAGAUAUAUUAGCAGAUGCAGUAACGACGCGACGACACCACAGCUUUUGUUUCUAUAUUUUUGCUUAGGCCUCAUGUCUAUCGGAGCUGGUGGCAUAAGAUCAUGCUCCCUGGCCUUUGGUGCUGAUCAAUUGAGCAAGAGGGACAGCCUUAAACAUGCUGGAAUAUUAGAAAGCUUCUUCAGUUGGUACUAUGUUACAUCCUCAGCUUCUGUAUUUAUUUCCAUGACUUGUAUAGUUUACAUUCAAGAUGCCAUGGGCUGGAAGGUGGGUUUCGGAGUUCCUGUGGUUCUCAUGAUCCUGUCAACUCUUUCCUUCUUCUUGGCUUCUCCCAUUUAUGUCAAGCCAAAGGCUAAGGCAAGCUGGCUCAUCGGAUUUGCUCGAGUUCUCGUGGCCUCCUUCAGAAAGAGAAGGAUUGAAUUAUCUUCACUAGACACGGAUGAGCUGUAUCAUCAGAGGAAGGGAUCUGCACUUGUCGUGCCAAGUGAAAGAAUAAGGUAAUUAACCUACCUGUGAAGCACUUAAUAAGGUAAUUUUAUAUAUGAUAGUUCCUAUAAGGAUUUCCUUUUGUCUUAUCUUGUCCUAGGUUUCUAAACAAAGCUUGUGUUAUUAAGAAUCCUGAAGAAGACUUGAUGCCAGAUGGAAGAGCUUCAGAUCCAUGGUGUCUUUGUACAGUAGAUCAAGUAGAAGAGCUAAAAGCACUAAUAAAGGUAAUCCCAAUAUGGUCGACAGGGAUGUUGGUGUCUGUAAAUGUCUGUCAAAACUCUUUCUUAUUACUCCAGGCAUCCACUAUGAACCGACAUAUCACUUCGAAAUUUGAAAUUCCUGCUGGAUCAUUCUAUGCAUUUAUGUUGCUCUCUCUAACAAUGUGGAUUGCUCUAUACGAUCGCGUAAUCAUCCCUCUAGCAUCAAAACUCACGGGAAAACCAACACGUCUCGGCUUGAAACAGAAAAUAGGAAUUGGGAUUCUGGGCUCGGCUGCUUCCAUGGCAGUACUGGCAAUUAUAGAGAGGGUGCGACGAGAAACUGCAAUCAGGGAAGGAAUUUCAGAUAUUCCUGACGCGGUUACGCACAUGUCUGCAAUGUGGUCAUUGCCAUUUUACUUCUUACUUGGAUUUUCUGAGGCUAUGAAUGGUGUUGGACUGAAUGAGUUCUUCUACACUGAAUUGCCUAAAAGCAUGUCUAGCGUGGCCUCGAAUCUUUAUAGUGUUGGACUGUCUGCUGCAAGCUUGGUGGCCAGUUUUAUAGUAGGUAAUGUUCGUGGGUUUAUUAGUGAAGCAAAUCAAGAGAGUUGGGUUUCAAGCAACAUCAACAAAGGACAUUAUGAUUAUUAUUACUGGCUGCUUUCUAGUUUGGGUGUUGCUAACUUCAUUUAUUAUCUUGCUUGUAGCAAGGCUUAUGGUCCUUGUAAGGGGGGACAAAAGGGCAUUACUGGAGAUCUUAGAGAAGGAUUGAUUGAUGAUGAUGAUGAUGAUGAUGUAGUUUAAGUUAACGUUCAGGAUCUUUGUAUGUUCGU